CAAUAGCGUAUAUUAAAGUUGUUGCAGUUAAAAAGCUCGUAGUCGGAUUUCGGGGCGGGCCGAGCGGUCUGCCGAUGGGUAUGCACUGUUCGGCGCGUCCUUCUUUCCGGAGACCGCGCCUACUCUUAGCUGAGCGGGCGCGGGAGACGGAUCGUUUACUUUGAAAAAUCAGAGUGUUUCAAGCAGGCAGCUCGCUCUUGCAUGGAUUAGCAUGGGAUAAUGAAAUAGGACUCUGGUGCUAUUUUGUUGGUUUCGAACACCGGAGUAAUGAUUAACAGGGACAGUCAGGGGCACUCGUAUUCCGUCGAGAGAGGUGAAAUUCUCAGACCAAUGGAAGACGAACCACUGCGAAAGCAUUUGCCAGGGAUGUUUUCACUGAUCAAGAACGAAAGUUAGGGGAUCGAAGACGAUCAGAUACCAU
rnacentral:rRNA from 1 species